AUUAAAAAGCACUAGUAUCAUUAACUAGAUUUAAAACAAAGCCAAACAAUAACCCUGCUAAUAAUUAUUGAAAGGUGGGGGGGCUUCAGUGCGUUUUGUGUGUCAGAGCAUUCGUAAGCGCACCCAACUUCAUAAAGCGGCAGGGGCUACGUCCGGCUUUGUUUCUGCCGUUCGCAGUAAACCAUCUACCUGCGUGUUCUAAAGAAAUGUUAUGAUGUCAUUGUUUUCAGGAUACACCUUACAUGCAGGAGAGAUGUUUUAAAUCUUCAGACUGUUUGCCGCCUCGUGUUUUGAUAAACUCUGUUUGAUUUAUUUGAGAGAGAGAGAGAGAGCAUGAGCAGGUGGGGGGGGUGCAGGGAGUAGCAGAGGGAGAGGGAGAAGGGGACUCCGGCCUGGCCCAGCAGGGAGCAUGAUGCAGGAUCCCGGGAUCAUGACCUGAAUGGAAGGCAGACGCUUAAAGGACGGAGCCACCCAGGCGCCCUGAGAACUGGGAUUUUUUUUUUUUAAUUGAAAUCUGUGUUAGAUUCCUGUGUUAUAUUCUAAGCUUAUUUUUAUUUAUUUAUUUUUGUAGAGAGGGGAGUAGAGAGAGAGGGAAUCUUAAGCAGGCUCCAUGCUCAGUGUGGAGCCCACCGUGGGCCUUGAUCUCACCCACCCUGAGACCAUGACCUGAGCCAAAAUCAGGAGUUGGAUGUUUAACCAGCUGAGCCACCCAGGUCAUGAUACCAGGCUCCUGGGAUCGAGUCCUGCCUCUGGCUCCCUGCUCAGUGGGGAGCCUGCUUCUCCCUCUGCCUGCAUCUCCCCCCUGCUUGUGCUCACACGUGCGUUCCCGUGCUCCGACAAAUAAAUAAAAUCACACACUGGGGGUGAGUAAUCAUUGUUUGCUUAAAAUCUGAUAAAACUUUGACUUCUUUUAUCAUUGACCUUGCAAAUAUGUCACUUUUUUGAUAAUCUUAUCUAUUUCAGGAUUUCUUUAACU
rnacentral:lncRNA from 1 species